CUAAACAGGUUCAUGUAACAGUUUUCAAACUUUACAGAGCACACAAAAAACAGUUCAAACAUUCACUGGAAAGCAUGCCCUACACAAAAAGGGAUAACUGACAGUGCUCUUAUGCAAAGUCUAUUUUUAUGGCUGCUGCCUUCCACACAGAGGAAUGGGAGGACUUUCAAUUCUCUUCUGCAAUAUCAAGUUUCCCACUCUCCAGUCCUGCUCCUGUUUGCGUCGUGGGCUAACAUCUCUAGUGUGCUAUUAAUAUCAAUGAAGAGCCGACUCAGUUUCCAUAUAUGAAAAACCUUCCUAUUACAGUACAUUCGCUUGUGAUCAAGAAGCCUUUGGUCGGGAAACAAUAAGGAAUAGCAGCUCUUAAGGCUUCAGGUUGUAGACAGUGUACGGUUUGAAAGCUUUAUGGCAAGUGAUGGCAGUAUUAUGUCUGCGGACAGUUACAAAACAGGAUUCGUUUGGAAGAAGAAUAACAAAGCAGCCCUGACGUGUUUCUUUACAGGGCCCGCACUCUGAAAUAUUUAGUAACAGGGUUCACCCUCAUCACAUGCCACCUGCACUGCUCAAGCUGCUUCCAAGUCAGUUCAGUAAAACUACACAGACUGAUGGACAAGCCACACUUCAAGGAGCUACAAAACAACUGUUAACAGGACAGAGCGACACAAAGAGGAUACUAGAAUUGCUGCACUGCAGAAUCUACACACAAAACUGAAUUCAAGUAAUUUCUGUCUCAUCCCUACAUCGCAGUCUGUUGAAUUGCCUCUCCAUAAACUUACAAAUCCCUUAGCUGAAAAAAAAAAAAAGUUUUAUAGUAUUCUGUUACUGUCCUAUACUUGUAUUUUUACAUAAAAUUAAAAAAUGCCUAACGAUUAGUAAAACAAUAAUUAAAAAAGAGAUUUGUUCUUGCAUUUUAAAAUAUAUUAAAAAACACCAAAUGACUGUAAGAGUCUGUUCCAGCUGUUAAACUUUGUCAUUCUGUUUAAAGAAAAAAGAAAGCCAAAAUCUGUUUCCUUAAGCCGAGGAAACAUGGAAAAAGCCCAUCCUGCCAGUGGAAAAAGCCCAUCCUGCCAGUGGAAAAAGCCCACUGCUGUGGUUUCUUGCUGAGGCAGCAAAAGUUCUCAGAAAGGGAAGUUGCUGCCAACUCAAAUACCGUUUUUCUUUCACACCCAAGAACAAAAUGAGUGCAUGCUGAAGGCUUCCUGAGGGCUCACUGCAGCUGGAAUUCACUGAAUAAAGCCAAUUGUAUUAUUUUAAGCUCAACACUACCACCCCCG